GAGAUUAAAAAGCUUGCUUUUUAAUCUUAGCGGCGGACGGGUGAGUAACGCGUGGGUAACCUGCCCUAUACACACGGAUAACAUAUCGAAAGAUAUGCUAAUACGAGAUAAUACAUUUUUAAGGCAUCUUAAAAAUGUCAAAGAUUUAUCGGUAUAGGAUGGACCCGCGUCCCAUUAGCUAGUUGGUGAGGUAAAAGCUCACCAAGGCGACGAUGGGUAGCCGACCUGAGAGGGUGAUCGGCCACACUGGAACUGAGACACGGUCCAGACUCCUACGGGAGGCAGCAGUGGGGAAUAUUGCACAAUGGGGGAAACCCUGAUGCAGCAACGCCGCGUGAGCGAUGAAGGCCUUCGGGUCGUAAAGCUCUGUCCUAAGGGAAGAUAAUGACGGUACCUUAGGAGGAAGCCCCGGCUAACUACGUGCCAGCAGCCGCGGUAAUACGUAGGGGGCAAGCGUUAUCCGGAAUUACUGGGCGUAAAGGGUGCGUAGGCGGCCUUGUAAGUCAGAAGUGAAAGGCUACGGCUCAACCGUAGUAAGCUUUUGAAACUGCAGGGCUUGAGUGCAGGAGAGGAGAGUAGAAUUCCUAGUGUAGCGGUGAAAUGCGUAGAUAUUAGGAGGAAUACCAGUUGCGAAGGCGGCUCUCUGGACUGUAACUGACGCUGAGGCACGAAAGCGUGGGGAGCGAACAGGAUUAGAUACCCUGGUAGUCCACGC
rnacentral:rRNA from 1 species